GAUGAACGCUGGCGGUGUGCCUAAUACAUGCAAGUCGAACGGGGUGAUGGUGCUUGCACUAUCACUUAGCGGCGGACGGGUGAGUAAUGCUUAGGAAUCUGCCUAUUAGUGGGGGACAACAUCUCGAAAGGGAUGCUAAUACCGCAUACGUCCUACGGGAGAAAGCAGGGGAUCACUUGUGACCUUGCGCUAAUAGAUGAGCCUAAGUCGGAUUAGCUAGUUGGUGGGGUAAAGGCCUACCAAGGCGACGAUCUGUAGCGGGUCUGAGAGGAUGAUCCGCCACACUGGGACUGAGACACGGCCCAGACUCCUACGGGAGGCAGCAGUGGGGAAUAUUGGACAAUGGGGGGAACCCUGACCCAGCCAUGCCGCGUGUGUGAAGAAGGCCUUAUGGUUGUAAAGCACUUUAAGCGAGGAGGAGGCUCUUUUGGUUAAUACCCAAGAUGAGUGGACGUUACUCGCAGAAUAAGCACCGGCUAACUCUGUGCCAGCAGCCGCCGUAA
rnacentral:rRNA from 1 species